rnacentral:rRNA from 1 species
AUGAACAGGGGUAUUUCUAGCCCAUCAAUCUACAGGGCUCAGGUCCUGCACAUGCUAUCGACUUGCUUGCUGUUGGGCGAGACUGGUUGCAACUUGUCUGCCUCGAUUCUAAUUCUAUGUGUUAUCCAUCUACAUAUGCCUAUCAUUGUCGGCUAUGUUUUCAGCCCAAACAGCUGUAGCUCAGAUUUCCUUGCCUUUGGCUGGCCAUCCCUUUCUUUUGCCACGCCAUCGACUUGCUUGAUGUCGGGUGAGAUUGGAUGCAACCUAUCUGCCUCGAUUCUAAUUCUCUGCAUUAUCCAUCUACAUAUGCCUGCGAUUGCCAGCUAUGUUUUCUGCCCAAACAACAUAUGUAAAGUAUGCUGGUGGAAGUGA